rnacentral:rRNA from 1 species
UACGUAGGGUGCAAGCGUUGUCCGGAAUUAUUGGGCGUAAAGAGCUCGUAGGCGGUUCGUCGCGUCGGCUGUGAAAUCCCGAGGCUCAACCUCGGGUCUGCAGUCGAUACGGGCGGACUGGAGUUCGGCAGGGGAGACUGGAAUUCCUGGUGUAGCGGUGAAAUGCGCAGAUAUCUGGAGGAACACCGGUGGCGAAGGCGGCAUCCUGGACCGACACUGACGCUGAUGAGCGAAAGCCGGGGGAGCAAAGCGGG